rnacentral:rRNA from 1 species
UACGAAGGGGGCUAGCGUUGCUCGGAAUCACUGGGCGUAAAGCGCACGUAGGCGGAUUCUUAAGUCGGUGGUGAAAUCCUGGAUCUCAACUCCAGAACUGCCUUUGAUACUGAAGAUCUUGAGUCCGGGAGAGGUGAGUGGAACUGCGAGUGUAGAGGUGAAAUUCGUAGAUAUUCGCAAGAACACCAGUGGCGAAGGCGGCUCACUGGCCCGGUACUGACGCUGAGGCACGAAAGCGUGGGGAGCAAACAGG